rnacentral:rRNA from 1 species
AAUGAAUGUUGGCGGCGUGGAUUAGGCAUGCAAGUCGCGCGGAGGUAGCAAUACCUUAGCGGCGAAAGGGAGAGGAAUAUAUGGAUUAUCUGCCCUCAGGAUCGGGAUAGCUACGGGAAACUGUAGGUAAUACCGAAUAACAUCUCCGGAUCAAAGGUGUGAUUCCGCCUGAGGAUGAGUUCAUAUCCUAUUAGCUUGUUGGUGAGGUAAUGGCUUACCAAGGCUAAGAUGGGUACCGGGAGUGAGAGCUUGACCCGGCUCACUGGGACUGAGACACUGCCCAGACACCUACGGGUGGCUGCAGUCGAGAAUCUUCGGCAAUGGACGAAAGUCUGACCGAGCGACGCCGCGUGUAUGAUGAAGGUCUUCGGAUUGUAAAGUACUUUCGUUUGGGAGGAAAUGUAGGGGGGUUAUCCCCUCUAUUUGACCUAUCUUAGGAAGAAGGACGGGCUAAGUUCGUGCCAGCAGCCGCGGUAAAAC